rnacentral:rRNA from 1 species
CACUAUCGUUAACUGAAUACAUAGGUUAACGAGGCGAACCGGGGGAACUGAAACAUCUAAGUACCCCGAGGAAAAGAAAUCAACCGAGAUUCCCCCAGUAGCGGCGAGCGAACGGGGAGCAGCCCAGAGUCUGAAUCAGCUUGUGUGUUAGUGGAACGGUCUGGAAAGUCCGACGGUACAGGGUGAUAGUCCCGUACACCAAAAUGCACAGGCUGUGAACUCGAAGAGUAGGGCGGGACACGUGGUAUCCUGUCUGAAUAUGGGGGGACCAUCCUCCAAGGCUAAAUACUCCUGACUGACCGAUAGUGAACCAGUACCGUGAGGGAAAGGCGAAAAGAACCCCGGCGAGGGGAGUGAAAAAGAACCUGAAACCGUGUACGUACAAGCAGUGGGAGCACCUUCGGGUGUGACUGCGUACCUUUUGUAUAAUGGGUCAGCGACUUAUAUUCUGUAGCAAGGUUAACCGUAUAGGGGAGCCGCAGGGAAACCGAGUCUUAACUGGGCGUUAAGUUGCAGGGUAUAGACCCGAAACCCGGUGAUCUAGCCAUGGGCAGGUUGAAGGUUGGGUAACACUAACUGGAGGACCGAACCGACUAAUGUUGAAAAAUUAGCGGAUGACUUGUGGCUGGGGGUGAAAGGCCAAUCAAACCGGGAGAUAGCUGGUUCUCCCCGAAAGCUAUUUAGGUAGCGCCUCGUGAAUUCAUCUUCGGGGGUAGAGCACUGUUUCGGCUAGGGGGUCAUCCCGACUUACCAACCCGAUGCAAACUACGAAUACCGAAGAAUGUUAUCACGGGAGACACACGGCGGGUGCUAACGUCCGUCGUGAAGAGGGAAACAACCCAGACCGCCAGCUAAGGUCCCAAAGUCAUGGUUAAGUGGGAAACGAUGUGGGAAGGCACAGACAGCCAGGAUGUUGGCUUAGAAGCAGCCAUCAUUUAAAGAAAGCGUAAUAGCUCACUGGUCGAGUCGGCCUGCGCGGAAGAUGUAACGGGGCUAAACCAUGCACCGAAGCUGCGGCAGCGACACUAUGUGUUGUUGGGUAGGGGAGCGUUCUGUAAGCCUGCGAAGGUGACCUGUGAGGGUUGCUGGAGGUAUCAGAAGUGCGAAUGCUGACAUAAGUAACGAUAAAGCGGGUGAAAAGCCCGCUCGCCGGAAGACCAAGGGUUCCUGUCCAACGUUAAUCGGGGCAGGGUGAGUCGACCCCUAAGGCGAGGCCGAAAGGCGUAGUCGAUGGGAAACAGGUUAAUAUUCCUGUACUUGGUGUUACUGCGAAGGGGGGACGGAGAAGGCUAUGUUAGCCGGGCGACGGUUGUCCCGGUUUAAGCAUGUAGGCUGGUUGUCCAGGCAAAUCCGGAUAAUCAAGGCUGAGGUGUGAUGACGAGGCACUACGGUGCUGAAGUAACAAAUGCCCUGCUUCCAGGAAAAGCCUCUAAGCAUCAGGUAACAUUAAAUCGUACCCCAAACCGACACAGGUGGUCAGGUAGAGAAUACCAAGGCGCUUGAGAGAACUCGGGUGAAGGAACUAGGCAAAAUGGUGCCGUAACUUCGGGAGAAGGCACGCUGGUGUGUAGGUGAAGUCCCUGCGGAUGGAGCUGAGACCAGUCGAAGAUACCAGCUGGCUGCAACUGUUUAUUAAAAACACAGCACUGUGCAAACACGAAAGUGGACGUAUACGGUGUGACGCCUGCCCGGUGCCGGAAGGUUAAUUGAUGGGGUUAUCCGUAAGGAGAAGCUCUUGAUCGAAGCCCCGGUAAACGGCGGCCGUAACUAUAACGGUCCUAAGGUAGCGAAAUUCCUUGUCGGGUAAGUUCCGACCUGCACGAAUGGCGUAAUGAUGGCCAGGCUGUCUCCACCCGAGACUCAGUGAAAUUGAACUCGCUGUGAAGAUGCAGUGUACCCGCGGCAAGACGGAAAGACCCCGUGAACCUUUACUAUAGCUUGACACUGAACAUUGAGCCUUGAUGUGUAGGAUAGGUGGGAGGCUUUGAAGCGUGGACGCCAGUCUGCGUGGAGCCAACCUUGAAAUACCACCCUUUAAUGUUUGAUGUUCUAACGUUGGCCCCUUACCGGGGUUGCGGACAGUGUCUGGUGGGUAGUUUGACUGGGGCGGUCUCCUCCCAAAGCGUAACGGAGGAGCACGAAGGUUAGCUAAUCCUGGUCGGACAUCAGGAGGUUAGUGCAAUGGCAUAAGCUAGCUUGACUGCGAGCGUGACGGCGCGAGCAGGUGCGAAAGCAGGUCAUAGUGAUCCGGUGGUUCUGAAUGGAAGGGCCAUCGCUCAACGGAUAAAAGGUACUCCGGGGAUAACAGGCUGAUACCGCCCAAGAGUUCAUAUCGACGGCGGUGUUUGGCACCUCGAUGUCGGCUCAUCACAUCCUGGGGCUGAAGUAGGUCCCAAGGGUAUGGCUGUUCGCCAUUUAAAGUGGUACGCGAGCUGGGUUUAGAACGUCGUGAGACAGUUCGGUCCCUAUCUGCCGUGGGCGCUGGAGAAUUGAGGGGGGCUGCUCCUAGUACGAGAGGACCGGAGUGGACGCAUCACUGGUGUUCGGGUUGUCAUGCCAAUGGCACUGCCCGGUAGCUAAAUGCGGAAGAGAUAAGUGCUGAAAGCAUCUAAGCACGAAACUUGCCCCGAGAUGAGUUCUCCCUGAGACUUUAAGUCUCCUGAAGGAACGUUAAAGACGAUGACGUUGAUAGGCCGGGUGUGUAAGCGCAGCGAUGCGUUGAGCUAACCGGUACUAAUGAACCGUGAGGCUUAACCUU